UGUAUGGGAAGUGGGAGCGAGGAGAGAAUCCAUUUCCGUGGGGAAAAUACCCUCCAAAUUUUUUCUGUCAGCGUUUUAUGACGGUUAUGCCCUUUUAUUCCACCUGUCCGUCAUCGGUGCACGGUUUGGCUUUAGUUGUUCUGGACCUUUCUUUUAGCUUUUCACUUUCCUCUCGCGCAUACAUGGAGUUCCUUCCUUCCGUCUCCGAUUUGUUUUCUCUACCCGUACCGCUUCAUCUUUUUGGUUGUUCAAAUUAUUCAGCCUCUUGCUUUGUUGUUCGCGAAUUAGUUAUCAAAGUUGUUUUCUUGAAAAUCAGUAGGGGGUUAGAAGCUUCUACCCAUUUUUAAUCCGUUUAGAAUUUGUUCUGGGCUGAUCUAAUCCAAAGUUUUCAGGUCAGAAAGCUUGCUUAAAUUUCGAUUUUUAUUGAACUCAAGAAUGCUUCUUCAGUUUCUCAGGUUGAUUUGAAGGAACUUUUUUACCCAAAAAAGCUAGGGUUUCCUGGUGAGUUUUUCGUGCCCUUUUUGAGUUCGAUUGGAAUCCGUUUUUAACCCACAUAACCUAACGUUUUCUGGAAACGUUGGUCUUCGAAUAUUGGGGUUUUUGUGUGUGCAAGCCCUUUGUGAUCAAGGUUCCCAUACUGCAGGGGUUUGGAGCCUUGCACUCAUCAAUAUCUGAACAGAAAAAGAAUGAAUUAAAUCCAUGAACAACAGGUAAAAAUUAAAUCCCACUUUUGAGACUUUUUGUUAACAACUUGCUACUAAAAAAAUGCUGAGGGAAACAGUUCAUGAACCCUCAGAUUUGAUAAUCCGUGGCUAAUUGGUGGCUACUUUGGCAUCGUCAGCUAAGCUUACAUGUUAUUUUAAUGAUAAGGGUCAUUUUGAUUCUGAUCUCUAGUCAACCUAAUUGUUAUAUUAAAACCUUGUUUAUUUAAAUAUUUUGAUCGAGGUUCCUAGCACUAUUUAAGGGAUUUAACUCCUGCUUCUAUUACAUUAUAUAUGCAAAAAAGUCAAGCAAAUUGGAA